UACGUAGGGAGCGAGCGUUGUCCGGAUUUAUUGGGCGUAAAGAGCUCGUAGGCGGUUUGGCAAGUCGGAUGUGAAAGCUCCGGGCUCAACCCGGAGACGCCAUUCGAUACUGCCAUGACUAGAGUCCGGAAGAGGAGAGUGGAAUUCCUGGUGUAGCGGUGAAAUGCGCAGAUAUCAGGAAGAACACCCGUGGCGAAGGCGGCUCUCUAGUACGGUACUGACGCUGAGACGCGAAAGCGUGGGGAGCGAACAGG
rnacentral:rRNA from 1 species